CUGCCAUGAUGGCAAUAUUUUUCGUCAACAGCAUCUCACAGUGUGAAUGGUGACGACUCUGGGCUGAGCAG